CCUACGGGGGGCAGCAGUGAGGAAUAUUGGUCAAUGGACGAGAGUCUGAACCAGCCAAGUAGCGUGAAGGAUGACUGCCCUAUGGGUUGUAAACUUCUUUUAUAUGGGAAUAAAACGUUCCACGUGUGGGAUUUUGUAUGUACCAUAUGAAUAAGGAUCGGCUAACUCCGUGCCAGCAGCCGCGGUAAUACGGAGGAUCCGAGCGUUAUCCGGAUUUAUUGGGUUUAAAGGGAGCGUAGGUGGAUUGUUAAGUCAGUUGUGAAAGUUUGCGGCUCAACCGUAAAAUUGCAGUUGAAACUGGCAGUCUUGAGUACAGUAGAGGUGGGCGGAAUUCGUGGUGUAGCGGUGAAAUGAUUAGAUAUCACGAAGAACUCCGAUUGCGAAGGCAGUUCACUGGACUGCAACUGACACUGAGGCUCGAAAGUGUGGGUAUCAAACAGGAUUAGAUACCCCGGUAGUC
rnacentral:rRNA from 1 species